rnacentral:rRNA from 1 species
UACGGAGGGAGCUAGCGUUGUUCGGAAUUACUGGGCGUAAAGCGUACGUAGGCGGUUAUUCAAGUCAGAGGUGAAAGCCCGGGGGCUCAACCCCGGAACUGCCUUUGAAACUAGAUAGCUAGAAUCUUGGAGAGGUCAGUGGAAUUCCGAGUGUAGAGGUGAAAUUCGUAGAUAUUCGGAAGAACACCAGUGGCGAAGGCGACUGACUGGACAAGUAUUGACGCUGAGGUACGAAAGCGUGGGGAGCAAACAGG